rnacentral:rRNA from 1 species
GGUUAAGCGACUAAGCGUACACGGUGGAUGCCCUGGCAGUCAGAGGCGAUGAAGGACGUGCUAAUCUGCGAUAAGCGUCGGUAAGGUGAUAUGAACCGUUAUAACCGGCGAUUUCCGAAUGGGGAAACCCAGUGUGUUUCGACACACUAUCAUUAACUGAAUCCAUAGGUUAAUGAGGCGAACCGGGGGAACUGAAACAUCUAAGUACCCCGAGGAAAAGAAAUCAACCGAGAUUCCCCCAGUAGCGGCGAGCGAACGGGGAGGAGCCCAGAGCCUGAAUCAGUGUGUGUGUUAGUGGAAGCGUCUGGAAAGGCGCGCGAUACAGGGUGACAGCCCCGUACACAAAAAUGCACAUAUUGUGAGCUCGAUGAGUAGGGCGGGACACGUGGUAUCCUGUCUGAAUAUGGGGGGACCAUCCUCCAAGGCUAAAUACUCCUGACUGACCGAUAGUGAACCAGUACCGUGAGG